CCUACGGGAGGCAGCAGUGAGGAAUAUUGGUCAAUGGACGAGAGUCUGAACCAGCCAAGUAGCGUGAAGGAUGACUGCCCUAUGGGUUGUAAACUUCUUUUAUAUGGGAAUAAAAUGUUCCACGUGUGGGAUUUUGUAUGUACCAUAUGAAUAAGGAUCGGCUAACUCCGUGCCAGCAGCCGCGGUAAUACGGAGGAUCCGAGCGUUAUCCGGAUUUAUUGGGUUUAAAGGGAGAGUAGGUGGAUUGUUAAGUCAGUUGUGAAAGUUUGCGGCUCAACCGUAAAAUUGCAGUUGAAACUGGCAGUCUUGAGUACAGUAGAGGUGGGCGGAAUUCGUGGUGUAGCGGUGAAAUGCUUAGAUAUCACGAAGAACACCGAUUGCGAAGGCAGCUCACUGGACUGCAACUGACACUGAGGCUCGAAAGUGUGGGUAGCAAACAGGAUUAGAUACCCGAGUAGUC
rnacentral:rRNA from 1 species